GGGCCCGCACAAGCGGUGGAGCAUGUGGUUUAAUUCGAUGAUACGCGAGGAACCUUACCAGGGCUUAAAUGUAAGUUGCAUUAGUUAGAGAUAGCUAUUUCUUCGGACUACUUACAAGGUGCUGCAUGGUUGUCGUCAGCUCGUGCCGUGAGGUGUCAGGUUAAGUCCUAUAACGAGCGCAACCCCUGUUGUUAGUUGCCAUCGAGUCAUGUCGGGAACUCUAACAAGACUGCCGGUGCAAACCGAGAGGAAGGUGGGGAUGACGUCAAAUCAUCACGGCCCUUACGUCCUGGGCUACACACGUGCUACAAUGGCCGGUACAGAGAGCAGCCACUACGCGAGUAGGAGCGAAUCUAUAAAACCGGUCUCAGUUCGGAUAGGAGUCUGCAACUCGACUCCUUGAAGUUGGAGUC
rnacentral:rRNA from 1 species